rnacentral:rRNA from 1 species
GAGUUUGAUCCUGGCUCAGAACGAACGCCGGCGGCGUGCCUAACACAUGCAAGUCGAACGGGGAUGGGGAGCUUGCUUCCUAUUCUAGUGGCGCACGGGUGAGUAACGCGUAGAUAAUCUGUCUGAUGAUCUGGGAUAACACUUCGAAAGGGGUGCUAAUACCGGAUAAGCCCACGGAGUCUUUGGACUUUGCGGGAAAAGGGGGGGACCUUCGGGCCUUCUGUCAUCARAUGAGUCUGCGUACCAUUAGCUAGUUGGUAGGGUAAUGGCCUACCAAGGCUACGAUGGUUAGCUGGUCUGARAGGAUGAUCAGCCACACUGGAACUGAGACACGGUCCAGACUCCUACGGGAGGCAGCAGUGGGGAAUUUUGCGCAAUGGGCGAAAGCCUGACGCAGCAACGCCGCGUGAGUGAUGAAGGCUUUCGGGUCGUAAAGCUCUGUCAAGGGGAAAGAAAUGUACGAGGGCUAAUAUCCUUUGUACUCGACGGUACCCCUAAAGGAAGCACCGGCUAACUCCGUGCCAGCAGCCGCGGUAAUAC